rnacentral:rRNA from 1 species
GUGGGGAAUCUUAGACAAUGGGCGCAAGCCUGAUCUAGCCAUGCCGCGUGAGCGAUGAAGGCCUUAGGGUUGUAAAGCUCUUUCGUGGGGGAAGAUAAUGACUGUACCCCAAGAAGAAGCCCCGGCUAACUCCGUGCCAGCAGCCGCGGUGAUACGGAGGGGGCUAGCGUUGUUCGGAAUUACUGGGCGUAAAGCGCACGUAGGCGGACUGGAAAGUCAGGGGUGAAAUCCCGGGGCUCAACCCCGGAACUGCCUUUGAAACUCCCAGUCUUGAGUUCGAGAGAGGUGAGUGGAAUUCCGAGUGUAGAGGUGAAAUUCGUAGAUAUUCGGAGGAACACCAGUGGCGAAGGCGGCUCACUGGCUCGAUACUGACGCUGAGGUGCGAAAGCGUGGGGAGCAAACAGGAUUAGAAACCCCAGUAGUCC